UACAGGGGGGGCAAGCGUUGUUCGGAAUUACUGGGCGUAAAGGGCCAGUAGGCGGCCAACUAAGUCCGACGUGAAAUCCCCAGGCUUAACCUGGGAACUGCGUCGGAUACUGGAUGGCUUGAAUUCGGGAGAGGGAUGCAGAAUUCCAGGUGUAGCGGUGAAAUGCGUAGAUAUCUGGAGGAAUACCGGUGGCGAAGGCGGCAUCCUGGACCGAGAUUGACGCUGACGGCGAAAGCUAGGGGAGCGAAACGGG
rnacentral:rRNA from 1 species